rnacentral:rRNA from 1 species
UACAGAGGUCUCAAGCGUUGUCCGGAAUCACUUGGCGUAAAGCGCGCGCAGGCGGCGAUCUACGUCUGGGGUGAAAGCCCGGAGCUCAACUCCGGGACUGCCUUGGAUACGGGAUCGCUUGAGGAUUGGAGAGGCAAGGGGAAUUCCACGUGUAGCGGUGAAAUGCGUAGAUAUGUGGAGGAACACCUGUGGCGAAGGCGCCUUGCUGGCCAAUUUCUGACGCUGAGGCGCGAAAGCGUGGGGAGCAAACAGG